GGCUGGGUUAGCUCAGCGGGUACAGCAAGAGGCUCUUCAUCUCAGGGUCGUGGGUUCGAGCCUCGCCUUAGACA